rnacentral:lncRNA from 1 species
GUAGUGCACACCUCUCUCCCUCCUCCAGCUGGCUUCUCAGUACACACUUGUCAGAAGUCUCAUCUGCACCCACCACCUCUGGGAAGGGCGCCCUGCCGCAGUGGUGGCUUCACCAGCGUCUGCGGGGGUCUCUGGGUGCUUUUAGCAUCAGGGACGCAUUCUGACAAAGGAGCAGCUUGAAGUUAAGAUCCUCAGCCACUGCCUCCACCGAAGGCUUCCUCGUGGUUUCUUAUUUUUGCAAUAGCAGUUCACUGAGCACGGAACCUUGUAAAAUGUCUGCUGGAGAGCCAACACUUCACCUCGGGAAGGGGCGAGGAGAGCACCCUGCCUCCUUAUCCUGGGUAGCAACGGAGGCCCCUUCUGUGGGCGCACAAAAUGGGCCCGGUGCACGCUGGUGCCACUCUCACGGCCAAGCCUCGGGCUGACACCAUGCAGCACACGGCGCUACCCACAAUGCACCGGCCCUCCUCUGUCACACACAGGCACGCACACUCACCCCCAAACCCAGAGGGAGCCCAGGCCAGGCCUGCGGGCGUCCAGGUGCCGACCCCUCCAGCCCCGCACUUACCUAGAAGUUGCACGGUCCUGGGUCCCGCCCUGGCGCCCCCGGGGGCUGGAGUCCGGCCCGCGGCGGCAGCGGCGAGAGACUCCGGGCAGGGUUCAGCCGGCGCCGAACAAAGGCUGAGCGCAGGCAGCGGGCGCCGCCUGCAUCCCCGCUCCGCGCCCGGGCGGCGGCGGCGGCGGCGCGGGGGCCCGGGCGGCUCCGGCGCCCGCUCGCUCCGCGCUGCCCGCUCCGAGGGCGCUCCGACUCCCGCGCUCCGGCUCGCUGCUGCCCGCCACCGCCGCCGCCGUCGUCCGGCUACCGCACCGCAUACAUCAAUUAUUCAUCGCCCGUCUCCAGCUUCCCGGGCGAAGCCAAUCACAGGCGGAGGCUCCGCUAAUGGGGCCGCCGCCGCCAAGGAGGCAGCCAGCCGCGCGCCCGGGCGCAAGCGACAACCCUCCAGGGACCGGGAUGGGCCGGGGGCGCGCUGGGGGCGGGGGCGCAUGGGGCGUGCUGGCAAAACUUCCCACGGCCCGCCCGCGCCCUGCGCGGCACUCUCGGACACUGCGGCCGUGACCACCCACCCUCCAAGCGCCCGCGUGGGAUUGGGGGCUCAGGGGAAGCCAGGCGCGCCGCGUCUGGGGGAGGGGAGGAAGGAGGAGGAGGAGCGCGGGAGGAAGAUGAAAGGCGAGCAAACCUGCCUCGGCGUCUCCAGGGAGCCCCGGCUUGCU